rnacentral:tRNA from 1 species
AGGAUUAUAUUUAAUUAUAAUAUUUGAUUUGCAAUCAAAAAGUACACUAAAAUGUUGAUCUUA